CAGUGCCGCCUUCAGGGUGUCUCGGAGCUGAGCCAGCUGCUUCCUCUCUCCAUCCUGAGUCUGUUUGAUCUGCAGAGGAAGAGAAACUCUGACUGUUGUGUUUGCAUGGAGCGAUCGUGAGAGCAGCUGAUGAUGAGCCCUUCUUACAGUUUGGUCUCGUAAUCCUUCCAGGCCUUAUCGAACGGCUUCUUCAGAUCCUGCAGGAAAAACAGACGUCACAGACAGGAAGAAGAAAGUGACACCAACCCCUUUCACUCCUUUCAGGUCUCCUUUGAGCAGACUGUCCAGAGGGAACGUGAUGAUGUUGUUCAUGUUCUGCAGCUGCAAACAGGAAGUCGUGUUACAGCAC